rnacentral:rRNA from 1 species
UGCGUAGGCGGCCCGGCAAGUUUGAUGUGAAACCCAUAGGCUUAACCUGUGGCAUGCAUCAAAAACUACCGAGCUAGAGUGCAGGAGAGGAAAGCGGAAUUCCUAGUGUAGCGGUGAAAUGCGUAGAUAUUAGGAAGAACACCAGUGGCGAAGGCGGCUUUCUUGGACUGCAACUGACGCUGAAGCACGAAAGCGUGGGGGAGCAAACA